rnacentral:lncRNA from 1 species
CCGCAUCUGCUGUAUUUGGUUCCAACUGGCAGGCACCGAAAUCUACUGGAUUUAGUUCCACACCAUCCUCCUCUUCCUCAACGUUGUUUGCCUUUGGAGCAGCUUCUAAUACUGGUACGAGCAGUGCACCCAUGGUGUUUGGAUCAACCUCUAGUGUCUCAUCUGCCCCUUUCCCCUUCAGUUCACCUGCAUCUGCUACUCCAUCACAGCCUGUGUUCGGUGCCCCAAAUCCUAGCUUCGGAUUUGGUUCUUCAUCUGGUAAUAAUGACCAAAUGAGCAUGGAGGACAGCAUGGCAGAGGACACGGUUCAGGCAACCACGCCUUCAGUUUCUGUAUUUAGCCAACAACCAGCUACACCUGGCUCAAUUUUUGGUUUUCCAGCUCCAUCGGGUGGGAAUCAGUUUGGUUCUACAGGUCCAUCAGGUGCAAAUCCCUUUCAAUUUGGAAGCCAACCAAAUCUUGCUGCUCCGCAGAACCCAUCUUUUCAGGCUUCAGGUAGUCUAGAGUUUAAUGCUGGAGGAAGCUUCUCAUUGGGAACAGGUGGCGGUGACAAGUCCCAUAGAAAAUUUGUCAGAGUCAAAAAAACACCGCGCAAGCGGUAAAGACACCUAGGAACUCCGGUUUGGUUUUGUUGUGUUAUUUCCUGGUUAUUGGUGGCAGACAAGUAAUUAUAAUGAUGAGAGAUACACAGCAUGAUUUGCUGUUUCCGAGGUCACCCAUUGAUAUUUUGGUGACAAAGGCAAACCUGCCUUCUCAGGCACCAGAGAUGUGCCUGAUCCUGCUUGUGUCUUUACAGUUCCCUUUCCCCUCAGGACGAUGGUGGAAAGGUGGGCUUAUGUUGUUGCAAUUUUGUACUGUCUUCUUAGCAAACCUAAGAUAGUGGUAGCUCAUAGGAUUAUAGUUGGGUAAAUUUGCUUGUGACCAUGUUCUCUGAAGUCUGUACUCUAUCACUUGUAACAUAAACAGCAAAUCAUAUCGAUUUGUUUAAGAAAGUGUCUUGUUCCGAGCAUCAGGUAUUUCCAAUAAUCAUUGUUUUAUCCCACUUGUAAUCUGUUUUCUAACAUUCCUCUCCCUUGCCUUGUUUACUGGCGAAAGAACUUGGAAGUGAACACUGAAUUAUACACGAGGGUUUGCUGAAAAAAAAGCAAUAGGAGAUGAAUAAAUGUCAAUUUAUCCUACUGUUAAUGUAUAUGAUAUAAGAUUUGGCUAUUGGAGCCAACAAUUUGAAAAAGAUGCACAAAAUUACUGGCAGGAAGAUAGGCACAAAAUGCACCCUUCAUAUAGCAAGUUCUUGAAGCAAUAUAAAUACCUUUUAAGUCGAGUGAUUAGCAAUCCUACAUUACUAAACCAUAAUCAAAGCAACAAGAUGAGUAAACGAUCAGAAUUGAACUCGUUUUGUUUUUACAGAUGUAACCAGCCUAGUGGCGAUUACAUCACUAGUAAUGUCUGGCUCCAGCAUUAUUGUAAACACGGCCCUCAGGGUAUGGAAUCCUUCCCUCAUUUCCUUGAGCUCUUCCACCCCCACCGUACUGAGGUCGUCCCCGGUAGGACUCAAAUUGACUGCUGGCAUAAGCCCGAUGUGUUUCUCCAGAACUGAUGGGCCCUGUAGCAGCUGCACCACCACUAUAGCCACGGGCAUCCUGCAAACCUGUGUUUGGGUAGUGGCUCAUGUUGGCUUGUUUGUACUGACUUAGUCGUGCUUGUGAUUCCUUCCUAAGAAACUCUUCUCGUCUAUUGGCUUGUUGAGCUCGAAGUGCGGAAAGUUUGUCCUGGUAUCUGGUAUUGAUCUCAAUAAUUUUCUGAAGCAGCAAAAAUAUUGAAUGUUUAUCGUUUGGCCAAUCAUCUAUAGUAUGAACAGUAAAAAUACAAAGAAAGUCAGUGCUAUCAGAGAUCAAUAAUCUAGUAAAGUCAAAGGGAAGAGAAGGUUUCAAAACCAGCAUAAGAAGAGAAGGGCAUGUCAGAGAAGCAGGAAGCUUUGCAACACACUAAGUAACAGUUAGCUCUUUGUAAAUUAAUUUGCUUAAAUAUUUAAUUGACUUCUUCAAUCAUGCAUAAGCGUCAUUCGAGCUAAAGUUACUAGAGUAACCCCCUCCCCUUCUCUCCACCCUCAAAGAGCCUUUACUGGCCUAGGUUUAAAAUAGUUGCAGCUCACAAGGGGGGAAAGCCCGAAUAAUUGAAGAAAUUGUUUCAUGGAAGUCUCACCUCCCUAUGCCUAGCAUUUUCAGCAACCUCUGCAUCACCUUGCUCCUUUGCCAAUUUCGUUACUUCAUCAAAGAACUUCCUUUCAAGACCUUCAAAAGACAUUGGCAAUGAAUUGUCCUCAAAGCCAAGCUCCAUAUCUUGGUCAUGGGGCUGGGUUCUGCCAGCUUCCUUGUUGGAUUGACUUUCUAGACCCAUUUUCGGAUCGGGUGGCUGCCCAUGGUAGUAAGAUCUUGCCCCAGAACCCACUUGACCUGCAAAAUGAAGCAAAUAUGAACAAACAUUCAUAAAACUUGUUCAUAGCUUUUUUUCUCCCAGAAAAGCCACAUUUUUCUUGGUUAUCAAGCAUGCAUCCUAAAGCUUGUUCACAUACACGUAGCAUCCAAAUCACAUACAAAUAUCAAUCUCCACUUUCUGAUUCUUUACCUUUAAACUUUAGUGCCCAAUUGCAUCUUGACUAUAAUUCAAUAUUCAAUAGAUUUACCAGCUAUCCUAACACAUCAACGCAGCUCAAAGCUCUACAUUGUAAAUAAGUUCAUAGCUUUCUUUGAUCAUCUGUAUUCUAUACUACGCUCAAAAAGGUCAAGAUAUCUCCCACUUCAAAUGAACUAAGGUUCUGUUUGGUAUGACUUUUGUGCAUUGAUUUGAGUUGUUUUUUAAACUUUUUACUCAUAGAAAUGUUAUAAAUAUAUUUGAUUAGACAACUUCUGACUGAAAUAAAAACUUUGUUACAAAAGUGAGUCAAGAUUUUGAGUUAAUCAAAAGUCAAAAUUUUCAACUUUUAACUCGGAUUCUACUUCAUACUAUAUCUCUUCCCCGAAAAAUUCGUUUUGAAUCAUUUUUACAGGACAUAUUUUGUCACAUUAUUUAUGAAAAACAACUUUUGAAUUGUGACUCGAGGUAAACUAAGUUAUGCCAAAUGGGCUCUUAACACACAACUUUCACUUCCAUCAAUUCCACCUACCAAUUCUUAACAUUAACACCCAAUUCCUCAUUGUCCUUCCACCAUUGUUCUGAUAACUCCAAAAGCUUAACGUUAAUUCGUAUAUCGUCAACGAAAGUUCACACUUUCCUUCAAUGUUCAAAUCAAAUUCACUACCUUCAGCAACCCAAAAAACCCUUAACUUCUUACAAACAUUACUUUCACUCUCUUAAUUAAACAUCCAUCAAACACAAUAACAUCAAGAAACACACAGUAUUCACUCACCUUCACUGAAAGCAUGAGUAGGCAAUUGAUUGUGAAUAUUCUGUGAAUCUCUGUCCCACUGCCACUGCCCUUCAGCUUUUGAAGAUUUAUACCCAGGAUGCUGUUCUGCCUCCACACUAGAGUACCCAUCUUGCCUUCCUCCUCCAUAACUAUUACUCAUUGCCCCUGUAUUUCCUCUCAUUCUUUGUCCACCUCCUCCAUACGGGUUCAUAUUCCCAUCCCCGUACGCCGGCGGUGGCUGCCGUUUCAUUCUUUCUCUCUCUGUAAUCCAAAAAGAAACACGGCAAUACACGAAUUAGCAGCUGUUUGGAAACAACGUUACUUUGGUUUGCUUCUUUUCGAUUUAUGAGUAACUCGAAGAGACGGGAGCCGGGAGCGAGCUAGUGAUGGUUGAUGUUUGCCCUUGAAAGAGAUGCCAAGUUUUAUUUGUGGGCCAUGGCCUAUUUAGUUUAAGGCCUAUCAUACUUAUGGAAGGCUACAUGUUGAGGGUAAUUUUUUUAGUUCGUUUUCAGAUCAAUAAAAAUAAAUAUUUUUUUGUUUCAUUUUAAAAAUGUACUUUCACGUUAUCCUAAUUUAUUAAAAAAUAAUUAAUUACAUGAAUAUUAUCCUUAAGGUUUGAAUUCAAAAUAUUAAGAAAAUCAAUAUAUUUCUUUAAUCAUUAAAUCAACUCUUUAAAAAUAUUAAAAAUAAUUAGGUGAAAUCACAUUUUUACCUGUUAAUAUUUGAUAAGAUUAUGAUGGUUUUAUUUGAUGUUUUAUAACCUAAAUAAUUCUUGUUCAUCUCUGUACAUAUUUCUUGCGUGAGUGAAUAUUUUAUAACAAAAUUAAAAUAAAUAUUUUUUUAAUAUAAACAACUAAAUUUAUAGUGGAAAAAUUAUCAAAAUUUAAAAAGUAUAGCUAAAGUACAAUAGUCGCAUCAUAAAACAUUAUUCAGUAGAACAAUGCUACAUUUUUUUGUUUCUUCUCUUAUUAUUUUUUUUAUUCAUUUAGUUUUUAUUUUCUAAUUUAACCUUCUAAUAAUUAAUUUUUUUUAAUUUAGCUUUUUUGUUUUAUUUUAAUUUUCAAUUUACUUUACAUAAAGAUUCUAUCAGCAAUAUUGAAUAUAAUAUAACUGGGUUUUAUAUUUUUAUUUGUUUACUUUUUAUAGAAUUGUCAUUGUCUCAUUAUCCGUCGCGAGUUUUACAAGCCAAUUUGAGCUAAUCUAGAUUAUUUUUUAUUAUUUUUAAUUUCAUCAUUUAAUAUUGAUUUAGCUAAAAAUUAGAUUUUUGAGUAUUUUUUUUAAUUUGUUUUUCACUGUGUUAUCUCGAUCUCAUAACUUAAGUCGCAUGUUUGAUAAAUUGAUUUAAUUUUUUUAUUAUUAUUAAAUAUUUUCUUCUCAUUCUCAUUAUUUACCGUUAAAUUUAUUUAUAAUUUUAGUAAUCGUUUCAAUUACUAAAAGCACUUUGUUCUGGUACAGAAUCACCAGAAAGCAUAUCUUGUAAACUAACCUCCUCUAUGAUAUCUGCAAGCCCUGCAGAGAAUAUGAGAACCGGAAUGUCUCUUUCCUGUGAAUUGCAAACACAAACAACUUUGUAUAUGCACGAUAGGCUUCUGCAUUUAUGUAUAUAUGUAACAUUAUUAAAAAAAAUUAAUUAAAUAAAUAAAUUAUUUCAUUCUUUUCGACAGAAUAUUAUGCUCAUAUCAUAUCAUUUUUUAAAGGGUUCCACUACACCUGUAUUGUGACCAAAACUAAAGAUUUUCCUGAAAAUAAAUAAAAAUAUAGAUAUGACAUUAACUACGACAUAAUAAAUAAAUGAAAUUUUUAACUCUACACUUUAAAAUAUAUAAAAUUAUAAAUUAAUAAAUAGAUAGAGAAGAUUAAUUCCAUGGGAGAGUCGAGCUUAAUCAAGGGUGAACCAGCUUUUAUCCGAGCAGCUUAAUUAGGGGUGAGCUUAAUUAUGGUGUAUUUGGAAUUGUGGUGUGAAAAAAAUUAUUUUAUAAAAAGUAUUUUUAGUUGAGGUUGAGUUGUUAUUUGUGUAUUUUUAGUUAAAAUUAUGGUUGAAAUUGAGAUUGGUUAAAAAAUUAUUUAAUGUGUUGGGUUAAGAAUACUUUUGAAAUCGAUGUUAUAAAAUAAUUUUAAAAAAUAUAUAUUAAUAUUAAUGGUUUUUAAUUUAAAUAUUGUAAAUUUAACUAUUGUUAUUACAUCAUGAAAUAAAUAAUACUUUAUAUAAAAUAUUUUUUAUUGUUUCAUUAAACUAUUUACAAUUUAGAAUUACGAUCAAAUUUUGAAAAUGUUACGUGUUCAAGCGCUCUCCGUCUAAUUUAUGUAGUGUCAUUGAAUAAUGUUAAACACUAGUUUUUCAAAUGAAAUCAAUUAAAAAAUAAAAAAUAUUUUUUUUUAUUGAAUCGGACCCGAUAGGAUGCAUUUUGAACUUUAAACCAGAUCUAAUCUAAUCAGAAUAAUAGAUACAUGCUUCUUUGUUCAGGAACAAUAUUGUAUGUUUUACUAUUCACUUAACAAUGUAGCAUAGUUCAUCCGUGCAAAGCAGCUUUGUGCUGUUUCCUUCCCCUGUGUUUCAAACAUAGUUUUAAAACCCGGACCGGCCUGGCGGGUUGACUCGGGACCCAGCCGACCUGGGCAUGGAACCGGUCCGGAUGAAGGCCAAAACCCGCUUGGGAAUUGGCCCGGCCAGACCCGGUCGACCCGGGACCCGAUAGACCCGGCCACAAACCCGUUGACUUUUAUUUUUUUUUGCUAAAACGACGUCGUUUUGAUUUUUUAAAAAAAAAAUUUUAAAUUUUUUUUUGACCCGGCCGACCCGGUGACCCGGUCAAAACCCGGAACCCGAGGCUUGGACCGGGCCGGGUCUUAAAACUAUGGUUUCAAAUGCAAAAACACUCUAGAAUUCAUGAACAGUGAACUAUAUAUAUAUUUUUUAACCAAAUAAAAAUGUAGACGCAAUACCAUACGGCCUCUACUUCAUCUCCCUAUAGGCCUUUGAGCCAUAAUGGAAUGGAACUGCAACCUGCUGGUUUGGUUAAGGGCUAAUUACACCUUUACCCCUAACAUCAAAUGUUACACUUUUCCAAGUUCCACUCCUUAAGCUCUAAGGUUUAACCUUUUGCGAGUUACUGACUAGUCAAAGCGUAAAUUGAAACCUUUUGCUUACUAUAUAGGAGUAACAUUGAAACAACUUAAAUAUUAAGAAACCGUUAAAUAUACGGUUUCUUAAUAGGAAGACAAAUUUCAUUAUAAUAAUGAACGAUAUAUAUAAGGACACAUUUCAUUAUACAGGUGACGUUUUCCCGUCAUUGGGAGUUGGGAUUGUAAGGAUUCCUGACUCUGAAGGCAACAACCAGUCCAUUAAAACCACACAGCUUCAUGCUCUUGAACUUGAAUUCCAGUUCUUUUUCUGAAAACAGAGAGAAGAUACUUAAUGGGUUUUAUCUUUCAACAAUUUUGAGCUAUCGUUUCUCAAAUUAAGAACCGCCAAGGUAACAUUUUUUUCUUCUUUUUCCAAGAUAGGUUUUCCUUGUUUUGCUUUUAUUCUCCAUAUAUUGUCUCAGUUAACUUGAAGUCAAUGAUCUUGAUUGAUUCUGAAAUUGAUUUUGUUUAAAGUUCAUUCUUUUUUAAAAAAUAUUAGUGGUAGCUCUAAUACACAUUUCCUUGAAGAUGGCUGAGGUUUUGUUUUUUUAACUUUGAAGCAAAUAUUUUGAUGGAUUCUGGACUUUUGUUUAAAGAUCACGUCUUUUUCACACAUGUGUGCUCCUACAUGGUUUUCUGCUAUUCAAAUUUGAUGUUGGAAGCGAAUUGGUUGCUUCCAUUGGAAGUUUUUCACUUGGAUAUUUAGUUUUGAUGGUGGGUUCUUGUAUGUUAGAGCUUGUUGGUCUAAUAGGUCCUAAAAAUACUAAUUAGUGCAUUUUGUGGCGAUUUUCACAUGUCUUAAACAGGGUUUUGAUGGAUAUAGGUUAACUUAACGCAAUGUUGUUUUUGCAUGGAUAUAUAGAUAGGCAAUGUCAAAAGGGUGUUGACGUUGGUUUGUGUAUCUGAAUAAGGGUUACUUAACUGGUUUUUGCAGUUUGGAAGAGUAAGAUGGCCAGACAGGCUAAUACACUUUUCCUUGAAGAAUGGCUGAGGAGCUGUAGUGGUAGCAGCAACAUCACUUCAGCCACUACUAAUCAAUCUCAGGGUUUUAAUCCUUUUAAUGCUGGCACUGCUCAGGUUUCUGCUGCUGGAACUGGUUUGGCAACUUCAACACAGAGCAUGCCGAAGCAAUUUAGUUCACCUGCAUCAAUUCCUUUUAGUUUGACUGCGAGUUCAGCCUUCUCCUCUGGCAGUUCCACAUUUGGUUAUGUGAAUACAGCCUUCUCUUCUGGCAGUUCCACAUUUGGUUCCUCUACAUCUAAAUUGUUAAGCUCUGGUACUACGUUUGGACUCAACUCUUCCACUUCCGAGUCCAGCUCUGUUAGCUCCAUGGCGAGCGCCGCAUCUGCUGUAUUUGGUUCCAACUGGCAGGCACCGAAAUCUACUGGAUUUAGUUCCACACCAUCCUCCUCUUCCUCAACGUUGUUUGCCUUUGGAGCAGCUUCUAAUACUGGUACGAGCAGUGCACCCAUGGUGUUUGGAUCAACCUCUAGUGUCUCAUCUGCCCCUUUCCCCUUCAGUUCACCUGCAUCUGCUACUCCAUCACAGCCUGUGUUCGGUGCCCCAAAUCCUAGCUUCGGAUUUGGUUCUUCAUCUGGUAAUAAUGACCAAAUGAGCAUGGAGGACAGCAUGGCAGAGGACACGGUUCAGGCAACCACGCCUUCAGUUUCUG